rnacentral:rRNA from 1 species
CCCUUAGAUGUCCUGGGCCGCACGCGCGCUACACUGAUGCAUGCAACGAGUUUAUAACCUUGGCCUGAAAGGUCUGGGUAAUCUUUUGAACGUGCAUCGUGAUAGGGAUAGAUUAUUGCAAUUGUUAAUCUUGAACGAGGAAUUCCUAGUAAACGCGAGUCAUCAGCUCGCAUUGAUUACGUCCCUGCCCUUUGUACACACCGCCCGUCGCACCUACCGAUUGAAUGGUUCGGUGAAGAUCUCGGACUUCGAUAUUUAUUCUUUAUUGAGUUUAUAUUGUGGGAAGUUAUCCAAACCUCAUCAUUUAGAGGAAGGUGAAGUCGUAACA